rnacentral:rRNA from 1 species
UGGGGAAUCUUCCGCAAUGGACGAAAGUCUGACGGAGCAACGCCGCGUGAGUGAAGAAGGUUUUCGGAUCGUAAAACUCUGUCUUUUGGGGCGAACGUGAGUAUGGUGAACAAUCAUAGUCAGUGACGGUACCAAAGGAGGAAGCCACGGCUAACUACGUGCCAGCAGCCGCGGUAAUACGUAGGUGGCAAGCGUUGUCCGGAAUUAUUGGGCGUAAAGAGCGCGUAGGCGGGAUAGUCAGUCUGUUGUAAAGUGCGGGGCUCAACCCCGUGAUGGCAAUGGAAACAGCUAUUCUUGAGUGCAGGAGAGGAAAGUGGAAUUCCCAGUGUAGCGGUGAAAUGCGUAGAUAUUGGGAGGAACACCAGUGGCGAAGGCGACUUUCUGGACUGUGUCUGACGCUGAGGCGCGAAAGCCAGGGGAGCGAACGGGAUUAGAUACCCCGGUAGUCCUGACCGUAAACGAUGGGUACUAGGUGUGGGAGGUAUCGACCCCUUCCGUGCCGGAGUUAACGCAAUAAGUACCCCGCCUGGGGAGUACGGUCGCAAGACUGAAACUUAAAUGAAUUGACGGGGUCAUAGCUGUUUCCU